rnacentral:rRNA from 1 species
AUUGAACGCUGGCGGCAUGCUUUACACAUGCAAGUCGAACGGUAACAGGUUAAGCUGACGAGUGGCGAACGGGUGAGUAAUGCAUCGGAACGUGCCCGGUCGUGGGGGAUAACGCAGCGAAAGCUGCGCUAAUACCGCAUACGAUCUGAGGAUGAAAGCGGGGGACCGUAAGGCCUCGCGCGAUCGGAGCGGCCGAUGUCAGAUUAGGUAGUUGGUGGGGUAAAGGCUCACCAAGCCGACGAUCUGUAGCUGGUCUGAGAGGACGACCAGCCACACUGGGACUGAGACACGGCCCAGACUCCUACGGGAGGCAGCAGUGGGGAAUUUUGGACAAUGGGCGCAAGCCUGAUCCAGCAAUGCCGCGUGCAGGAAGAAGGCCUUCGGGUUGUAAACUGCUUUUGUACGGAGCGAAAAGGCUCUCUCUAAUACAGGGGGUUCAUGACGGUACCGUAAGAAUAAGCACCGGCUAACUACGUGCCAGCAGCCGCAGUAAGAC